rnacentral:lncRNA from 1 species
GAUGCCUGCAAACUGCAGUUGAUGUGAAGUGUACCCUCUGGCGAUGUGAAACACCAGGUGGCUUUAUGGCAUUCUUUAAUGAAGUAACGUCAGAGCUGCUAAACACACAGGAACGUA